UCCCAGAUCUCGCGUCAGCAUCGACCGCGAGUGACCAUUACCCUUAUCAAAACCCCCACUAGCUAACAACCCACUUGUGCCCAUGCGAGAACGCAUCGACACAAGGGUUGAAUCCAAUCUAUCUAGUAACAAAGGAGGACUUACAUGGAACAGGAGAACGGUAGAGUGAUGCGACAUAGCAUCACAUCUGGUGUACGAAAACGGAAGUAUUCACAGCGACGCGGCAUCGCACCGCGUCCAGUGAACACUUCUAUCAAUACAGGAAAGCCUUACCUUAGGCAUAGAAGGAGAUGAACGUAGUGGUACGGCUGACACCGCACCAUACGGACAUUUUCGUCACGACAAGGGAUGCAGGCAAGACGACGAUAACGCAUCGACACAAGGGUUGAAUCCAAUCUAUCUAGUAACAAAGGAGGACUUACAUGGAACAGGAGAACGGUAGAGUGAUGCGACAUAGCAUCACAUCUG
rnacentral:lncRNA from 1 species